rnacentral:rRNA from 1 species
GACGAACGCUGGCGGCGCGCUUUAUACAUGCAAGUCGAACGAGAAGCCAGAGCUUGCUCUGGUGGAAAGUGGCGAACGGGUGAGUAACACGUGAGAAACCUGCCCAAAGACUGGGAUAAGCCGAGGAAACUUGGUCUAAUACCGGAUACCUUCUUUUUAUCACAUGUUAAAAAGAAGAAAUGCUCCGGCGCUUUGGGAUGGUCUCGCGACCUAUCAGCUUGUUGGUGAGGUAAAAGCUCACCAAGGCAUCGACGGGUAGCUGGUCUGAGAGGAUGUCCAGCCACAUUGGGACUGAGAUACGGCCCAAACUCCUACGGGAGGCAGCAGUAGGGAAUCUUGCACAAUGAGGGAAACCUUGAUGCAGCGACGCCGCGUGCGGACGAAGGCCCUAGGGUUGUAACCGCUUCGAGUAGGACGAAGUGACGGUACCUACA